rnacentral:tRNA from 1 species
ACCUGGGUAGUUCAGUCGGUUGAGCAUCUGACUUCAGCUCAGGUCAUGAUCUUGUGGUUAGUGGGUUCGAGCCCCACAUCAGGCU